rnacentral:rRNA from 1 species
GACGAACGCUGGCGGCGUGCUUAACACAUGCAAGUCGAACGGUAAGGCCCUUCGGGGUACACGAGUGGCGAACGGGUGAGUAACACGUGGGUAAUCUGCCCUGCACUUCGGGAUAAGCCUGGGAAACUGGGUCUAAUACCGGAUAUUCAGCUUCUGCCGCAUGGUGGGGGUUGGAAAGUUUUUCGGUGCAGGAUGAGCCCGCGGCCUAUCAGCUUGUUGGUGGGGUAAUGGCCUACCAAGGCGACGACGGGUAGCCGGCCUGAGAGGGUGAUCGGCCACACUGGGACUGAGACACGGCCCAGACUCCUACGGGAGGCAGCAGUGGGGAAUAUUGCACAAUGGGCGAAAGCCUGAUGCAGCGACGCCGCGUGGGGGAUGACGGUCUUCGGAUUGUAAACCCCUUUCAGUAGGGACGAAGCGCAAGUGACGGUACCUGCAGAAGAAGCACCGGCCAACUACGUGCCAGCAGCCGCCGUAACAC